UACAGAGACUGCAAGCGUUAUUCGGAUUCACUGGGCGUAAAGGGUGCGCAGGCGGUCGGGUGUGUCAGAUGUGAAAUCCCGAGGCUCAACCUCGGAACUGCGUCUGAAACUACUCGACUAGAGUACUGGAGAGGGUAACGGAAUUCACGGUGUAGCAGUGAAAUGCGUAGAUAUCGUGAGGAACACCAGAGGCGAAGGCGGUUACCUGGACCGGUACUGACGCUGAUGCGCGAAAGCGUGGGGAGCAAACGGG
rnacentral:rRNA from 1 species